rnacentral:tRNA from 1 species
UUCAAUGUCAUUAAAUAUGGUGUUAUAAUGAUUCGUAAUCAGUAGGUCCGCGGUUCAAAUCCGCGCAUCGGCUCCA